CAUCCCCCGCUCCUGCAUCUCUCAUGCCGCGCCGCCCCCCCCCCGCCCCCAGCCCUUACCUCCCCCCGGGUGCAGGGAAGGGGGGCCCGGCGGCCCCGAGCUCGGCGGCACGGCCCCGAAACUAAAAGCGAAAGCGGCGGGCGCUGCUUCCCGCUCCGCCGGGCUGCCGCGCUCUGCCCGCGGCUGACGUCAAGGGCCCAAAUUCCUGUCUUUCCCUGCAGGCAGAUUUGUCCAUCUGGGGCGAAGGACAAGGGGAGGGGAGGUAAAAGGUGCUGGGAGUUCCAAAGGAGCUGCCUGCUCAGAGAUUCAGAACAAAACCUGUCGAGAAUAUUAAGGAGAGGGGGAAGGGAAACUAUUUUCUGAUUGCUUUCUGUUUGAUUGUUUUGUGGCUAUUUCUAAGGACUGCAAUUAAAAUAAUUGGGAUUUUUA